GCAGUCACAACCUAAUUAAAAUAACAUGAAGACUACAACUUUGAUCCUGCUUUGUGUCACAGUCUUCGGAGUUGGACUUGCUCAUUCUCCUGGAGGACUUUAUGAGAAAUGUCUGUGCAGGGGGAAACUAUUGCAGUCUAUAAGGAGAAAACAACAAAUUAAGGAGAUAAUGGUGUUCUCUAAGUCUGUCUUCUGUGGAAAGAAAGAAAUUAUUGCCAUAAUGAAGAAUGGUAAGAAGAAAUGUCUGGAUCCAGAGGGCAAGCAAAUGAAAAGUGUGGAGCUGCAACAGAAGAUGGCAAAAAAAGGAAAUGGAAGGAGAAACCAAUAGUGCUACACAGGGCCCUUUUCAUUAACAGGGAAUAAUUACACUGAGGAGCGGUUUUCUCCCUGGAAUAUUGCCUAGACAAACAGUACCAAUACAUUCCAUUGCAAGAGUUAAUAGUGUGCUGGUUGUGAAAUUCCUAUCAGGGUACCGGUUAAAACUGAAGGUCUUGAGCUAAUACCUAUGUGUAAUACCUAUAAUUUAAUAUCUAUGUAUUAAAUUAUAUAUUUUUACAAUCAUAUUUGUUUUAACUUGUGUAUGUAAACCUUUUUGUAUUUUGUAAUCAAAAUUUUAAAAAAAAGAAAUUAAAUUGAUACGUUUUGUUUUUUCAUGCAUGCUUGUGAGGUUCAAAGCCAUACAAUCACCUUAGUAUUAAACUGACUCAUGUUAACUGAAUGAUACUGUUAUUUUGGCCAUUAUACAAUAAACAUUACUUAGACUUUU